CAAAGCAGGCAGACAUAACCCAUGAAACUCAUAGCUGCUGCUAAAACUGGAAGUACUAUUGUGAACGAAUUAACAAUAUGUUAAUAGCUUUAGAAAACUACAGGCAAUAUGAAAAUAGCUUGCCAGUUUUUUUACACUGGCAUCUGCUUAACUUCUGAUGCUCAUAUUUUUUUUUUUACAAGUCUUUCACUGUUGACACAUAACAUCUCCAAGAGGAAUUUAUUAUAUUUCACAGCCUCGUGGGUUUGCUGCUUCUGAGUCACUUGGAUGUCCACACAGCUGCUGCAUCUGCAGCCAUCUCCCAGGUUUGUGGCAAUCAGAGUUUUUCACAGAGCUCUGAUCGUGAGUGAUUACUUUGGUCCCGGGCACCUGAACACACGGCUGUUCUGCAUUGGAUGUGUGUGCUGGCUGCGUGGGAUAGGAAGGAUGACUUUGAUUUUCUACAAAGAAACUUAUAUUUCCCAG
ensembl:lncRNA